UACCAGCACCCCGAGUGGUCGGGACGAUUAUUGGGCCUAAAGCGUCCGUAGCCGGUCCUACAAGUCUUCCGUUAAAUCCACCUGCUUAACAGAUGGGCUGCGGAAGAUACUAUAGGGCUAGGAGGCGGGAGAGGCAAGCGGUACUCAGUGGGUAGGGGUAAAAUCCUCUGAUCCAUUGAAGACCACCAGUGGCGAAGGCGGCUUGCCAGAACGCGCUCGACGGUGAGGGAUGAAAGCGGGGGGAGCAAACCGG
rnacentral:rRNA from 1 species